rnacentral:rRNA from 1 species
UACGUAGGGUGCGAGCGUUGUCCGGAAUUACUGGGCGUAAAGAGCUCGUAGGUGGUUUGUCGCGUUGUUCGUGAAAACUCACAGCUCAACUGUGGGCGUGCGGGCGAUACGGGCAGACUAGAGUACUGCAGGGGAGACUGGAAUUCCUGGUGUAGCGGUGGAAUGCGCAGAUAUCAGGAGGAACGCCGGUGGCGAAGGCGGGUCUCUGGGCAGUAACUGACGCUGAGGAGCGAAAGCGUGGGGAGCGAACAGG